CGGGACACGUGGUAUCCUGUCUGAAUAUGGGGGGACCAUCCUCCAAGGCUAAAUACUCCUGACUGACCGAUAGUGAACCAGUACCGUGAGGGAAAGGCGAAAAGAACCCCGGCGAGGGGAGUGAAAAAGAACCUGAAACCGUGUACGUACAAGCAGUGGGAGCACGCUUAGGCGUGUGACUGCGUACCUUUUGUAUAAUGGGUCAGCGACUUAUAUUCUGUAGCAAGGUUAACCGAAUAGGGGAGCCGAAGGGAAACCGAGUCUUAACUGGGCGUUAAGUUGCAGGGUAUAGACCCGAAACCCGGUGAUCUAGCCAUGGGCAGGUUGAAGGUUGGGUAACACUAACUGGAGGACCGAACCGACUAAUGUUGAAAAAUUAGCGGAUGACUUGUGGCUGGGGGUGAAAGGCCAAUCAAACCGGGAGAUAGCUGGUUCUCCCCGAAAGCUAUUUAGGUAGCGCCUCGUGAAUUCAUCUCCGGGGGUAGAGCACUGUUUCGGCAAGGGGGUCAUCCCGACUUACCAACCCGAUGCAAACUGCGAAUACCGGAGAAUGUUAUCACGGGAGACACACGGCGGGUGCUAACGUCCGUCGUGAAGAGGGAAACAACCCAGACCGCCAGCUAAGGUCCCAAAGUCAUGGUUAAGUGGGAAACGAUGUGGGAAGGCCCAGACAGCCAGGAUGUUGGCUUAGAAGCAGCCAUCAUUUAAAGAAAGCGUAAUAGCUCACUGGUCGAGUCGGCCUGCGCGGAAGAUGUAACGGGGCUAAACCAUGCACCGAAGCUGCGGCAGCGACGCUUAUGCGUUGUUGGGUAGGGGAGCGUUCUGUAAGCCUGUGAAGGUGUGCUGUGAGGCAUGCUGGAGGUAUCAGAAGUGCGAAUGCUGACAUAAGUAACGAUAAAGCGGGUGAAAAGCCCGCUCGCCGGAAGACCAAGGGUUCCUGUCCAACGUUAAUCGGGGCAGGGUGAGUCGACCCCUAAGGCGAGGCCGAAAGGCGUAGUCGAUGGGAAACAGGUUAAUAUUCCUGUACUUGGUGUUACUGCGAAGGGGGGACGGAGAAGGCUAUGUUGGCCGGGCGACGGUUGUCCCGGUUUAAGCGUGUAGGCUGGUUUUCCAGGCAAAUCCGGAAAAUCAAGGCUGAGGCGUGAUGACGAGGCACUACGGUGCUGAAGCAACAAAUGCCCUGCUUCCAGGAAAAGCCUCUAAGCAUCAGGUAACAUCAAAUCGUACCCCAAACCGACACAGGUGGUCAGGUAGAGAAUACCAAGGCGCUUGAGAGAACUCGGGUGAAGGAACUAGGCAAAAUGGUGCCGUAACUUCGGGAGAAGGCACGCUGAUAUGUAGGUGAAGCGACUUGCUCGUGGAGCUGAAAUCAGUCGAAGAUACCAGCUGGCUGCAACUGUUUAUUAAAAACACAGCACUGUGCAAACACGAAAGUGGACGUAUACGGUGUGACGCCUGCCCGGUGCCGGAAGGUUAAUUGAUGGGGUUAGCGCAAGCGAAGCUCUUGAUCGAAGCCCCGGUAAACGGCGGCCGUAACUAUAACGGUCCUAAGGUAGCGAAAUUCCUUGUCGGGUAAGUUCCGACCUGCACGAAUGGCGUAAUGAUGGCCAGGCUGUCUCCACCCGAGACUCAGUGAAAUUGAACUCGCUGUGAAGAUGCAGUGUACCCGCGGCAAGACGGAAAGACCCCGUGAACCUUUACUAUAGCUUGACACUGAACAUUGAGCCUUGAUGUGUAGGAUAGGUGGGAGGCUUUGAAGUGUGGACGCCAGUCUGCAUGGAGCCGACCUUGAAAUACCACCCUUUAAUGUUUGAUGUUCUAACGUUGACCCGUAAUCCGGGUUGCGGACAGUGUCUGGUGGGUAGUUUGACUGGGGCGGUCUCCUCCUAAAGAGUAACGGAGGAGCACGAAGGUUGGCUAAUCCUGGUCGGACAUCAGGAGGUUAGUGCAAUGGCAUAAGCCAGCUUGACUGCGAGCGUGACGGCGCGAGCAGGUGCGAAAGCAGGUCAUAGUGAUCCGGUGGUUCUGAAUGGAAGGGCCAUCGCUCAACGGAUAAAAGGUACUCCGGGGAUAACAGGCUGAUACCGCCCAAGAGUUCAUAUCGACGGCGGUGUUUGGCACCUCGAUGUCGGCUCAUCACAUCCUGGGGCUGAAGUAGGUCCCAAGGGUAUGGCUGUUCGCCAUUUAAAGUGGUACGCGAGCUGGGUUUAGAACGUCGUGAGACAGUUCGGUCCCUAUCUGCCGUGGGCGCUGGAGAACUGAGGGGGGCUGCUCCUAGUACGAGAGGACCGGAGUGGACGCAUCACUGGUGUUCGGGUUGUCAUGCCAAUGGCACUGCCCGGUAGCUAAAUGCGGAAGAGAUAAGUGCUGAAAGCAUCUAAGCACGAAACUUGCC
rnacentral:rRNA from 1 species